rnacentral:rRNA from 1 species
GACGAACGCUGGCGGCGUGCCUAAUACAUGCAAGUCGAGCGAAUCAAUAGGAGCUUGCUCCUGUUGAUUAGCGGCGGACGGGUGAGUAACACGUGGGCAACCUGCCUGUAAGACUGGGAUAACACCGGGAAACCGGUGCCAAUACCGGAUAAUCCUUUUCCUCUCAUGAGGGAAAGCUGAAAGUCGGUUUCGGCUGUCACUUACAGAUGGGCACGCGGCGCAUUAGCUAGUUGGUGAGGUAACGGCUCACCAAGGCGACGAUGCGUAGCCGACCUGAGAGGGUGAUCGGCCACACUGGGACUGAGACACGGCCCAGACUCCUACGGGAGGCAGCAGUAGGGAAUCUUCCGCAAUGGACGAAAGUCUGACGGAGCAACGCCGCGUGAGCGAUGAAGGCCUUCGGGUCGUAAAGCUCUGUUGUCAGGGAAGAACAAGUACCGGAGUAACUGCCGGUACCUUGACGGUACCUGACCAGAAAGCCACGGCUAACUACGUGCCAGCCGCCGCGGUAAGAC